rnacentral:rRNA from 1 species
ACCACCCUAAAUGCACCUGAUCUCAACUGGUCUCAGGAACUAAACAGGGUCAGGCCCAAUUAGUACGUGGAUGGAGACAGAUCUUCGGAG